UUUUUUGUCACCUCAAAAGCGUAAAUCUCCAUUGGUUGGUCUCCGUUGGUCUUUUUAAAUUUAGGUUUUUGAAUAUAAUAUACGAUAUUGGAAGUUUACCGAUACGCUGGUGAUGAUGCGAUUACUCCUACAGACAGGAGCGUUGAUCAAACCACUUAGUCAGGCAAUUUUAGGUGAGCAGUCACUUACCACUAAUUGCACGUUUGCCAGAUUUGUGAUUUAAUGUAACCGUAUUUACAUCUAUGCAAAGGCUCUAUCUGCAGUGGAAUAUCCCUGCCAGCUUGUAGUCGCUGAAAAUAGACGCACAUAAUGGAGUCCAAGAUUAGACUCAAAUAUUCUCUCUGUUCCUAGUUCCGCGAUUAAGAGCGAUUCGAGGGUGUGUCAUGGUCAGACCGGAAAAUUUCGUUUCUCACCAGCUUUCCAUGGGUCGCUUUUCCCUACAAGAGACGACCGAAUUGUUAGAAACCCGCGCCUCGAGCCUCGCAGCGCCGCAGGGCCAGCCUCAGGCAGGAGCGCCCCUGGGGGCAACCACCGGGACCUCGGUCAAAGUCAAUCGGAGGACCUUCAGGGACUGGAGGCGAGGAGAUCCCACUUUGGUCAGAAAUCUCGGCAAUAGAGAUUCCUUAGGCAACGCGCAGUUCUACAUCAUCCUGGCACUUUGCAUCGGGUUCGUCUCGGUGGUGGUGGGCUGCUGGCUCUCGGACAACUGCUGGUCCCCGGAGCCGGAGACGUGCGUGACGCUGGCAUAG
rnacentral:lncRNA from 1 species